rnacentral:tRNA from 2 species
CGGGGCGUAGCGCAGCCUGGUAGCGCGCUUGCUUUGGGAGCAAGAUGCCGGAGGUUCAAAUCCUCUCGCCCCGA